GAUGAACGCUGACAGAAUGCUUAACACAUGCAAGUCGAUUCAAGUUACCUUCGAGUAAUGAGGAUGGCGGACGGGUGAGUAACGCGUAAGGAACUUGCCUCUUGGUCUGGGACAACUGUUGGAAACGACAGCUAAUACCGGAUAUUAUGAGAUUCUCGCAUGGGAAACUUAUGAAAGCUAUAUGCGCCAAGAGAGAGCCUUGCGUUCCAUUAGCUAGUUGGUGGGGUAACGGCCCACCAAGGCGACGAUGGAUAGCCGGCCUGAGAGGGUGAACGGCCACAAGGGGACUGAGACACGGCCCUUACUCCUACGGGAGGCAGCAGUGGGGAAUAUUGGACAAUGGGCCACAAGCCUGAUCCAGCAAUUCUGUGUGCACGAUGAAGGUCUUCGGAUUGUAAAGUGCUUUCAGUUGGGAAGAAGAAAGUGACGGUACCAACAGAAGAAGCGACGGCUAAAUACGUGCCAGCAGCCGCGGUAAUACGUAUGUCGCAAGCGUUAUCCGGAUUUAUUGGGCGUAAAGCGCGUCUAGGCGGAAAAAUAAGUCUGAUGUUAAAAUGCGGGGCUCAACUCCGUAUUGCGUUGGAAACUGUUUUUCUAGAGUACUGGAGAGGUGGGCGGAACUACAAGUGUAGANGUGAAAUUCGUAGAUAUUUGUAGGAAUGCCGAUGGAGAAGUCAGCUCACUGGACAGAUACUGACGCUGAAGCGCGAAAGCGUGGGGAGCAAACAGGAUUAGAUACCCUGGUAGUCCACGCCGUAAACGAUGAUCACUAGG
rnacentral:rRNA from 1 species